UACGUAGGGGGCUAGCGUUGUCCGGAAUCAUUGGGCGUAAAGAGCGCGUAGGCGGCUGGAAUAGUCCGGUGUGAAAUCCACAGGCUUAACCUGUGAAUGCCGCUGGAAACUGUCUGGCUAGAGUCCGGAAGGGGCGAGUGGAAUUCUCGGUGUAGCGGUGAAAUGCGCAGAUAUCGGGAGGAACACCAAUGGCGAAGGCAGCUCGCUGGGACGGUACUGACGCUGAGACGCGAAAGCGUGGGGAGCAAACAGGG
rnacentral:rRNA from 1 species